rnacentral:rRNA from 1 species
GGAUUAGAUACCCUGGUAGUCCAUGCCGUAAACGUUGGGCACUAGGUGUGGGGGACAUUCCACGUUUUCCGCGCCGUAGCUAACGCAUUAAGUGCCCCGCCUGGGGAGUACGGCCGCAAGGCUAAAACUCAAAGGAAUUGACGGGGGCCCGCACAAGCGGCGGAGCAUGCGGAUUAAUUCGAUGCAACGCGAAGAACCUUACCAAGGCUUGACAUACACCGGAUCGUUCCAGAGAUGGUUCUUCCCUUUUGGGCUGGUGUACAGGUGGUGCAUGGUUGUCGUCAGCUCGUGCCG